rnacentral:rRNA from 1 species
AGCAACACGUGGAUAACCUACCUAUAAGACUGGGAUAACUUCGGGAAACCGGAGCUAAUACCGGAUAAUAUAUUGAACCGCAUGGUUCAAUAGUGAAAGACGGUUUUGCUGUCACUUAUAGAUGGAUCCGCGCCGCAUUAGCUAGUUGGUAAGGUAACGGCUUACCAAGGCAACGAUGCGUAGCCGACCUGAGAGGGUGAUCGGCCACACUGGAACUGAGACACGGUCCAG